rnacentral:lncRNA from 1 species
AAUGUUUUCUUUAAGGUUUAAUAUGUACUUAAUGUUGUGAGGUGUUCAGAAAAUUUAUUUAUUCUAGGAAAAAAAAAAGAUAUUUAAAAAAAAUAUUACCGCAGCCCAAGAAUGACCCAUGUAUUAAUUUGUGAUGCUAUUCUUGAUAUGAUCCUGCUAUUGUCACAAGCUGCACAUGCACAUGUGUGUACACAUGCACGUGUGUACACAUGCAAUGUUAUGAUGAUUUGUUAUAAGGGAUAUUAUAUUUUAGUAAUCCACAAUGACCUGGUGAUGUAAUAGUCUAAUGACAUUACCUUCCAUAUUCCUACAGUUACCUUGUAACUGGAGAUUCCUUCAAAACGAUUGCCUACAGUUACCAUGUAGGACACUGCAAGGUUGGGUGACCAGGGCCAUCUGGGACUGCCUCCUGGGAGAAUUCAGAUGUGUGUAGGCUACCUGUAUACUGCACAACUACUUGAGGAUGGACAUGAGGACCAGGGGGGAUGUGCAGCUCACCUGUGUGUGCCAGAGGAGAAGUCUGCUGCUCUGCAGGAUGUUUCAAGGAUGGGGUCCAACAAUGCAGCAAGAGAGGCAAUCCGUAUGCAGGAGAUCUUCACCUCCUACUUCUUCGAAGAGGGUGCUGUUCCCAGGCAACACCAAAGACUACACUAUGCACAACCAAAGACCCUUUAUAAGCCAUCCACAUUGCAAUAAGAGUAUUCUUCCAUUUACUUAGCUAAUGUCAACUGCAGUUAUUCAAUCCCUAGUUUCUCUCCCUUUGAUACCUACUUCUCAGGUGAGAUUGCUGUUUGGGUAAGGGUGUGACGUGUGUGGACACCAGGUGAGAUCACACACACAGAUUCCUGUUGAACACUGUCUCUUUAACUACCUUACUUUCACAAUAACAGUCUCUCUCCUUCACUUCAUCCCUUUCUCCCCUUCUCUCUAAAUCCUCUAGAUUAUAUCAGAUGUGUUGGUGAACCCCUCCCGCAUCUGAACUGGCUACAUAGAGGGCACAGCAUGAUCAGAGGUAUGUUUUGAGAUGAAAGAGGAUGCCAACAUCACCGCCUCACCAGCUCUUAAGAUAACAUUCGGGCCGACUGGGAGCCCAAGGCUGGUUAGGAGACACCACUAGAGACACUAUUAUGUAAUUGUGAUGAACAGAGAAUAUUAGGGUAGCACUGUGAUUCAUUAAUCAUAUGCUGUCUUCCCUGCUCCUCUGUUCUUACCUCUUUCCCUUUCUGUCUUUCACACCUCUCUCGCCAUCUCCUCUUUCUUCCUGUUUUUAUAAUGCACACCAGAUGUGCAUUGAAGUACAGAUUGCACUUGUAUUCAUAAUAUAUUACAAUUAUAAUAUUUAUAAUGCAUCUAUUAUGCAUUUAUAACCCUUGGAUAAUGAACUUCUUUCAAUAAAGCG